AAACUCAGCUGAUGAUGGUUAUCUGUCAGAGUCGGUCAAGAUGUUUUACCUCCAACAUAAACAACUCCCCUGUCUGUCAUGUUUCCAGGCUUCAGAGGUUCGUUUGUGGAUCCAAGCUCGUAGGGUUCUGGUUCAGUAAUGAGCUCCAGCCUGCUGUGCACUGCGAAACCCGCUGCACGCUCCUGCGUGUCGCUCGGAGAGGGAAGGGGAAGUGUUUAUGUCUCCCAGGGCUCACACCCCUUCUUCCCCUUGCAAUCACGGCUGUAAUUUGUUUGAGUCGACGCUUUGAUUCGAUUUAAGCAGUGGAUAGAUAGGUUUUGGGUUUUUCUCCCUCUUUUUCUCGGCUGUCCGAUGUGCUGACAGCUUCAUGCUGCAGGGAGGAAGCGCCGCACCGUGCGCCCUGCGCUCCGACAUGGACCAACAGCACUGCCUGCUGUACUCAAAGCGACACAGCACAAAGAUCCAUUGAUUUCUGGGCCAAGCAGGGGUGCAGCAUCUGGGACGCUCUGGGCGGCGCCCGCCACAUUUUGCGGGCAACCCACCAGCCGGAUCCUACCUUGUUCACUGGGCAUGGACUAAGCUAUGGUACCAGACUUGUUGCUCACCUCCACCGCUGCUGUAGCAGAGAUAAGGAAAUCUCCAGACGUUGCCCAGUCCCACAGCGUAUCCCACCGUGGCCAAGAUGAACUCCAGCUGUCCACUCCACGUGGGUCUCUCAGCUCUUUUAUCCACCGAUCUGUCGGCGCUGGCUUUGAUAUCCGCAGGCUGAUGAUCACAUCUUCUCUCCUCAGACAGAGGCUCUGUGUUUUCGGCUCCACGCUCCAUCGCGGAAAUUGAAUAAAAAUAGAUGGGUUUGAUUAUAAAAAAAAAAAAAACGUCCGCUGUAGUAACGUCCAAAACAUAUACAAUAUGGGAUCAUAUAACCUAUAUAGAUAUAUACAUAUAGAUAUAUAGAUAUAGAUGAAGACACGAGUCCAAUUUAAGUGACACCAUCCUGAGCAGUGAAUCAUAUAAUCACCGCUGUCUAAAAAGGCCCACAAACUCCGCCCAUCAGGUUUCCCCUUUCUUUCAAUGAUCCUGUUACUACGUAACAGAGCCCACUCUUUCAUAACGCAGACACCUUCAGGUGUCGCGUUGCAGCGCGAUGCGCAUCAAACUGCCUAUGUGUAUGGGCGUUAUUUUAACGCAAAUACUUUAUUUUAUAUCAUUUGCAUUAGAAAAAUUGCUUAGUCAUUGGAUAAAUUUGCGUUUGUUGACGCGAUUUUUAUUUUAUUAGGCAAAUUACGCUCAGUUUGAUUUGUUAUAGGACCUAGUAUCCAAAAAACACGUGUGGAUGAAGCAGGUUACUUAAGAACAUAAUUUUUUUUUUUUCUGUUGUAAUCCUCUGACUAAUAAAUUAAUAGACUUAGUUAUAUUCUAUUGAGUCCCAUUAGGCUUUAACCCAAUUAAAACAUCAAUACUUUUAGGUCUAAUUGGUUUGAAUUAAGGCACAGUUAAUGGGAUUUGCUCCUUCUGUUGAAUGAAGGCGCGUUGAUAUCUUGGCAUUAUAGAUGUAGCCCUACCUCUGCAAAAUAAAAAAUACUCAUAAUACACAUACGUUUUAUUUGAAGCGUACUGAUGUCAUGAAAGGCUAUAUGUGGUGCAUUGUUCUUGCAUUUGUGCCUAUGUAAUUUGCACAUGUAUGUCAAACACGUGUUAUCUGCUUCCUGUGAGUUUUUCACUUUAUUCCCUCUUCAUGUUGUCUGGGCGUGUUUUUAAACCCAUUUCUGUUAUUAUAUUCUUCCAUUUUCCUCAUGGUCACUGCCUGCCUAUAGCGAUAGAACAGUCUCCAUGUUAAUAUAUGUAAUCCACACAUGCAUUGGCUCAUAUUUCACUCAAUGUGGAACCAUGUACAUGCUUCUUCCGGUUCACUAUACCGGAAUAAUUUUUAAAGUAGAUGAAAGUUAUCCGCACUGCAAAAAAAAAGAAAAAAAA